AAGACUAUACUUUCAAGGCUCAUUUCUGUAGUUUGUUACUAGAGAAGUCUCUCUGAAUGUGUGGACUACCCAAAACCACAAAGAGGAGGCAUAGCAGUCUCUCCUGAAUAUGAAGCCAGCUCUUGGUGUUGCUUCUGCAACUGCCAUUAGUCCUUGAUGAUUGUUCUCUUCCUUUGGGAGAGUAAGAGGGAAAGAAUGUUGUCUGAGCUGA
ensembl:snoRNA U3 Small nucleolar RNA U3